GAUGAACGCUGGCGGCGUGCUUAACACAUGCAAGUCGAACGGAAAGGCCCAAGCUUGCUUGGGUACUCGAGUGGCGAACGGGUGAGUAACACGUGGGUGAUCUGCCCUGCACUUCGGGAUAAGCCUGGGAAACUGGGUCUAAUACUGGAUAGGACCACUUCUUGGAUGUUGUGGUGGAAAGUUUUUUCGGUGUGGGAUGAGCUCGCGGCCUAUCAGCUUGUUGGUGGGGUAAUGGCCUACCAAGGCGUCGACGGGUAGCCGGCCUGAGAGGGUGUACGGCCACAUUGGGACUGAGAUACGGCCCAGACUCCUACGGGAGGCAGCAGGGGGGAAUAUUGCACAAUGGGCGCAAGCCUGAUGCAGCGACGCCGCGUGGGGGAUGACGGCCUUCGGGUUGUAAACUCCUUUCGCUAGGGACGAAGCGUUUUGUGACGGUACCUGGAGAAGAAGCACCGGCUAACUACGUG
rnacentral:rRNA from 1 species